AUUGAACGCUGGCGGCAGGCCUAACACAUGCAAGUCGAACGGUAACAGGAAGCAGCUUGCUGCUUCGCUGACGAGUGGCGGACGGGUGAGUAAUGUCUGGGAAACUGCCUGAUGGAGGGGGAUAACUACUGGAAACGGUAGCUAAUACCGCAUAACGUCGCAAGACCAAAGAGGGGGACCUUCGGGCCUCUUGCCAUCGGAUGUGCCCAGAUGGGAUUAGCUAGUAGGUGGGGUAACGGCUCACCUAGGCGACGAUCCCUAGCUGGUCUGAGAGGAUGACCAGCCACACUGGAACUGAGACACGGUCCAGACUCCUACGGGAGGCAGCAGUGGGGAAUAUUGCACAAUGGGCGCAAGCCUGAUGCAGCCAUGCCGCGUGUAUGAAGAAGGCCUUCGGGUUGUAAAGUACUUUCAGCGGGGAUGAAGGGAGUAAAGUUAAUACCUUUGCUCAUUGACGUUACCCGCAAAAGAAGCACCGGCUAACUCCGUGCCAGCAGCCGCGGUAAU
rnacentral:rRNA from 2 species